AUAAUUGAUUUUAUGAUUUGCUU
rnacentral:snRNA from 1 species